CAUAGGGCGGAGCAGCUUAUUGGCCCGCAAGGCUUGUCGUUUUGGGACCACGGGUUCGAAUCCCGUCUCCGCCG
rnacentral:tRNA from 1 species